GACGAGAAGACCCUGUGGAGCUUUAGACCUAAAAUAAACCACGUUUAAUAUACUAAAAUUAAUAGCAAAAACUUAGUGGACAUUUAUUUAAGUGUCUUUGGUUGGGGCGACCGCGGAGUAAAACACAACCUCCAUGUGGACGGGGAUACUAUCCCUAAAACUCAGAGCCUCCACUCCAAGCAACAGAAAUUCUGACCUCACUGAUCCGGUACAGCCGAUUAACGAACCCAGUUACCCCAGGGAUAACAGCGCAAUCCCCUCUCAGAGCUCAUAUCGACGAGGGGGUUUACGACCUCGAUGUUGGAUCAGGAAAUC
rnacentral:rRNA from 1 species